rnacentral:rRNA from 1 species
AGUGAACGCUGGCGGCAGGCCUAACACAUGCAAGUCGAGCGGCAGCGCGGGGGCAACCCUGGCGGCGAGCGGCGGACGGGUGAGGAAUUCGUCGGAAUCUGCCUUUUUGUGGGGGAUAACGUAGGGAAACUUACGCUAAUACCGCAUACGUCCUACGGGAGAAAGUGGGGGACCGCAAGGCCUCACGCAGAAAGAUGAGCCGACGACCGAUUAGCUAGUUGGUGGGGUAAAGGCCCACCAAGGCGACGAUCGGUAGCUGGUCUGAGAGGAUGAUCAGCCACACUGGGACUGGGACACGGCCCAGCCUCCUAGGGGAGGCAGCAGUGGGGAAUAUUGGACAAUGGGCGCAAGCCUGAUCCAGCCAUGCCGCGUGUGUGAAGAAGGCCUUCGGGUUGUAAAGCACUUUUGUCCGGAAAGAAAUCCCUGGAGCUAAUACCUUCGGGGGAUGACGGUACCGGAAGAAUAAGCACCGGCUAACUUCGUG